UUUUGAAAAAUAUGGCUGAACACAUAAAAUUAGGUAAUGCGGUCAAUCACGAUGAUUGAAGGUGUCUUUAUUCCUGAUAUGUACUUAGUUCAAACUAUGUUUUACCUCGUUCAAUGUAAGUAUAAAAUUAUGAUACACGAGUUCGUGCGUAUAGCUCCGCAAAACAUUAUUCGCAAAAUUUUCCUCCACACUGAGGAAAAUACAAAUUGAGCUAAUGUGUUACAUAGGUAAAAAUGAUUCAAAUUACAAAGGAAAAUUUUUAUUUGCUCCUAAAAAUGAAUGUGAAAAUAGUCAACGGUUUCCAAGAUCCGAGUAAUUGAGAUGAAGCUUUGAUAAUUGAUUUAAUGCCAGUACGAACAGCAAGACUUGGCGCGAACAGAUCUUCAAAAGCUGGAAUUUUUUUUCAAAAUGUUCGACGAUUAUUGAUGAAUGAUUGAUGAUUGCCCAACUUGUGAUAAGCAAACUGCAUAAGCUAAGUAGGAUGCACCUCGAACUUGCUAAACUUGAAUAACUGGAAAAGAAAACAAGUAAGUAUAGGUAGACCUAGCAUGAGAAAGUUCAGGCAACGGUUUACAGGCACAAGUAAUGUCAACAGCCGACAUCGACAUUUUGAAAAACAUGGUUAAACACAUAAAAUCACGUAGAUAAUGCUGCCAAUCACGAUGAUUGAAAAUGUCUUUAUUCCUGAUAGUUUAAAUUACGUUCUACCUCGUACAACGCACGUAAGUACAUAUAAAAUUCCGCAAAACAUUAUUUACGAAUUUUUCUGCUGCACUGAGAAAAAUUUAUAAGGGAGUUUUUACUAAAAAAUUAUAAGAUUUUGAUAGAAUUCAAACCCACUAUUAUUUUUGAACUCCUGACCGAGAAGAAGGUUCGAUUUGAAACGCUGAAUCUCGUAACGCAAUUUAGUUUUUGGCCAGAGUAUGGUCUGAACAUAUCAAUGCCACAAGCCGAAUUUCAUCAUAAAUGAGGCUAUUCUGGAGCCUCCAGGCGCGAUAAUAAAUUUCUACUGAAGGCGUGAAAGUCAAUUCGGGCUGUUUAAAAUCGAAUUGUGGCUUCGAGUUUAUCCACAUUUAAGCCAAUUUUCAGGCCGCCAUUCAUCAUCGUUUGAUGACCUCUGACCUCUAAACAUGAUCUGAUUUUGAAAAAAAAAUCCGCCGAUUUGGCGUGAAAUGACCCUGUAUAUUUUGUGUAUAUAUUUACAGCAGUUGGACGUGUACGCUUGGACAUGUUGUGGUCAUGAUUUUUCAAAAAGCGAGGCAAACAGUUUCCAAAAAAUUCAAGUCAAAAGAGCAUGCAACAUUCUAUCCAGACAUAAUGGAGCUCUUUGAAGAUAAUCCUGCAUUCUAUCAUCAAUUAGGUUUGUUUGGUACCGAAGCAACGCUUAUGAAAAACACUAUUGAUGAUGCCAAACAGUACUACGACGAAAUAAUAAAGCUACUCGAUGAAAAUGAAGCGAAGAUUGAAAAUCUUCAGAUAGCUAUGGACAGAUUAGAAGAAAAUUUGAUCGUGGGGAAAUCACUUAUGGUUUUGAUAAACCGGUCCCGCAUCGUUUAUCAUCCUGGAAGAGAGGGUAAGCAGGAUUUUAUAGAGACCUUCCGGGAAUUGAGUGGAGAAUUUCACAACGUGUAUUUUGAAGCAUUAGAACUACGCCGAUUUGCGAAACCCGCAGAAUUGCACUGGGUGUGGAAAAAUGGGAGACUGUAAAGUACGUGUCCGAGUAUUGGAGCUUGCAUGUUUAAAUUAUUUAUUAUAGAUACGAUUACCCAGAUUAAAGUUGCUAUAGAUUAUAAAUCGUUAUUAUUAUAAUUCAAUAGAAUACAUGCCACAAAAAUUGAUACUCAGGGUACCAGUACUUAUUCCUUUUAUUUGAAUUAAAAUAAAAUUGGCAAUAAUGAUGAAAAAAUUGAAACCAUCUGGGUCGUUUUUCCCAAAACAGUUUGGGCAGCAA